AGUGGCGGACGGGUGAGUAACGCGUGAGAAUCUGGCUUUAGGUUCGGGACAACAGUGGGAAACUGCUGCUAAUACCGAAUGUGCCGUAAGGUGAAAGAUUAAUUGCCUGAAGAUGAGCUCGCGUCUGAUUAGCUAGUUGGUGAGGUAAAGGCUCACCAAGGCGACGAUCAGUAACUGGUCUGAGAGGAUGACCAGUCACACUGGGACUGAGACACGGCCCAGACUCCUACGGGAGGCAGCAGUGGGGAAUUUUCCGCAAUGGGCGAAAGCCUGACGGAGCAAUACCGCGUGAUGGAGGAAGGCUCUUGGGUUGUAAACCUCUUUUCUCAGGGAAGAACAAAAUGACGGUACCUGAAGAAUAAGCCCCGGCUAACUUCGUGCCAGCAGCCGCGGUAAUACGAAGGGGGCUAGCGUUGCUCGGAAUCACUGGGCGUAAAGGGCGCGUAGGCGGCCUGAUAAGUCGGGGGUGAAAGCCUGUGGCUCAACCACAGAAUUGCCUUCGAUACUGUUAGGCUUGAGACCGGAAGAGGUAAGUGGAACUGCGAGUGUAGAGGUGAAAUUCGUAGAUAUUCGCAAGAACACCAGUGGCGAAGGCGGCUUACUGGUCCGGAUCUGACGCUGAGGCGCGAAAGCGUGGGGAGCAAAC
rnacentral:rRNA from 2 species